AUUUUCCAAAAACUAGGUUUCGUAUGGAUGAGUUUAUCCCUUCCCCUUGAGAUGAGACAUGAAGGAAAGUGUUGGGGAUGAUUCUGCUUCCCAUCCUCAAAGGCCUGUGUGAAUUCUCACAAAGAAGAUGACUUCUUGGGAACUCUUUUGGGAAUGAACGAUACCAGUAAAUCCCUGAAGCAAGAUUCUUCAGACAGAGCCUAUUCACCUACCUGCUGUCCAAGGGCUACCCUCUGAAGGUGAUGACCACAGAGACGAGGUGGAUUUGUUACUGUGGGUACCAUUACUUCUGCCAUCAACUUCUGCAAAACAAUGAUAGUCUUCUUUGUGCAUGGAAACUCUUCUC